GAUGAACGCUGGCGGCGUGCCUAAUACAUGCAAGUCGAGCGAACAGACGAGGAGCUUGCUCCUCUGACGUUAGCGGCGGACGGGUGAGUAACACGUGGAUAACCUACCUAUAAGACUGGGAUAACUUCGGGAAACCGGAGCUAAUACCGGAUAAUAUAUUGAACCGCAUGGUUCAAUAGUGAAAGACGGUUUUGCUGUCACUUAUAGAUGGAUCCGCGCCGCAUUAGCUAGUUGGUAAGGUAACGGCUUACCAAGGCGACGAUGCGUAGCCGACCUGAGAGGGUGAUCGGCACACUGGAACUGAGACACGGUCCAGACUCCUACGGGAGGCAGCAGUAGGGAAUCUUCCGCAAUGGGCGAAAGCCUGACGGAGCAACGCCGCGUGAGUGAUGAAGGUCUUCGGAUCGUAAAACUCUGUUAUUAGGGAAGAACAAAUGUGUAAGUAACUAUGCACGUCUUGACGGUACCUAAUCAGAAAGCCACGGCUAACUACGUG
rnacentral:rRNA from 1 species